rnacentral:rRNA from 1 species
AACGCUGGCGGCGUGCCUAACACAUGCAAGUCGAACGAGAAAGUGGAGCAAUCCAUGAGUACAGUGGCGACCGGGUGAGUAACACGUGACUACCUGCCCUUGAGUGGGGGAUAACCUCGGGAAACCGAGGCUAAUACCGCAUAAUAUCGAAAGAUCAAAGGAGCAAUCCGCUUUUGGAGGGGGUCGCGGCUGAUUAGCUAGUCGGUAGGGUAAUGGCCUACCAAGGCGAAGAUCGGUAUCCGGCCUGAGAGGGCGCACGGACACACUGGAACUGAAACACGGUCCAGACUCCUACGGGAGGCAGCAGUGGGGAAUUUUGCGCAAUGGGGGAAACCCUGACGCAGCAACGCCGCGUGGAGGAUGAAGCUCCUUGGAGUGUAAACUCCUUUCGACCGGGACGAUAAUGACGGUACCGGUGGAAGAAGCACCGGCU